rnacentral:rRNA from 1 species
UACGUAGGGAGCAAGCGUUGUCCGGAAUCAUUGGGCGUAAAGCGCGCGUAGGCGGCCCCGUAAGUCCGCUGUGAAAGUCAAAGGCUCAACCUUUGAAAGCCGGUGGAUACUGUGGGGCUAGAGUCCGGAAGAGGCGAGUGGAAUUCCUGGUGUAGCGGUGAAAUGCGUAGAGAUGUGGAGGAACACCAGUGGCGAAGGCGACUCUUUGGUCUGUAACUGACGCUGAGGCGCGAAAGCGUGGGGAGCGAACAGG